rnacentral:rRNA from 1 species
UACAGAGGGUGCGAACGUUGCUCGGAAUUACUGGGCGUAAAGCGCAUGUAGGCGGAUCCAUAAGUCGGGCGUGAAAUCCCCAGGCUCAACCUGGGAACUGCGCUCGAAACUGUGGGUCUUGAGUGUCGGAGAGGAUGGCGGAAUUCCUGGUGUAGAGGUGAAAUUCGUAGAUAUCAGGAGGAACACCGGUGGCGAAGGCGGCCAUCUGGACGACAACUGACGCAUGAGA